rnacentral:lncRNA from 1 species
GGCCCUGGUCAGGCAGAUGCCACACCCUACCAGCUGGGGCCCCUGAUGCAACUCUUCAUCGAGGAGGAGUUGGCCCGCCCUGGAGGGGAGGAAGAUCUGCCAGAAUACAUGGCAGUGAAGGCAGUGGUGUUCGAUGUCACCUCCAGAAAGGAGUUGUAUGGAGAAGGAGCACUCAGCGGUGUCUUGACCAAGAAGAACUCCACCACAGGGGUGACCAGGUUGUCUUUAGAUCCUGCAGACUUCACCCAUGACACUAUAGGCCUCAUGGCCCAGGAGCUGGAGCCCCCAUAUGACAUUUUCACCAGAGUGUACACAGCCUGAAGAAUUCUUAACAAAUGGCAGCCCCAACCUGAACUUCAGGCCUGAAGACCAGCCCCAUUUUGACACAGAGGACAAAUUCUGA